rnacentral:rRNA from 1 species
GACGUAGGAUGCAAGCGUUGUCCGGAAUUAUUGGGCGUAAAGAGUUCGUAGGCGGUUGCCUAAGUCUGAUGUUAAAUACUGGAGCUCAACUCCGGCAUGGCAUUGGAAACUGGGCGGCUAGAGUGUGGUAGAGGUCUCGGGAAUUCCAGGUGUAGCGGUGAAAUGCGUAGAUAUCUGGAGGAACACCGGUGGCGAAAGCGCGAGACUGGGCCAUAACUGACGCUGAGGAACGAAAGCCAGGGGAGCGAAAGGG